UAUUGGUCAAUGGGCGUAAGCCUGAACCAGCCAAGUCGCGUGAGGGAGGACGGCCCUACGGGUUGUAAACCUCUUUUGCCGGGGGACAAACGGCGGCACGCGUGCCGUCCUGAGGGUACCCGGAGAAAAAGCAUCGGCUAACUCCGUGCCAGCAGCCGCGGUAAUACGGAGGAUGCGAGCGUUAUCCGGAUUUAUUGGGUUUAAAGGGUGCGUAGGCGGGAUGCCAAGUCAGCGGUCAAAUACGGGGGGCUCAACCUGCGUCCGCCGUUGAAACUGGCGUUCUUGAGUGGGCGAGAAGUACGCGGAAUGCGUGGUGUAGCGGUGAAAUGCAUAGAUAUCACGCAGAACUCCGAUUGCGAAGGCAGCAUACCGGCGCCCUACUGACGCUGAGGCACGAAAGCGUGGGUAUCGAACAGG
rnacentral:rRNA from 1 species